UACAGAGGUCUCAAGCGUUGUUCGGAUUCAUUGGGCGUAAAGGGUGCGUAGGCGGCGCGGUAAGUCGUGUGUGAAAUCUCGGAGCUUAACUCCGAAACUGCAUUCGAUACUGCCGUGCUUGAGGACUGGAGAGGAGACUGGAAUUUACGGUGUAGCGGUGAAAUGCGUAGAUAUCGUAAGGAAGACCAGUGGCGAAGGCGGAUCUCUGGACAGUUCCUGACGCUGAGGCGCGAAGGCCAGGGGAGCAAACGGG
rnacentral:rRNA from 1 species